AACGAACGCUGGCGGCAUGCCUAACACAUGCCAGUCGAACGAGACCUUCGGGUCUAGUGUCGCACGGGUGCGUAACGCGUGGGAACCUGCCCUUAGGUUCGGAAUAACUCCCCGAAAGGGGUGCUAAUACCGGAUAAUGUCUUCGGACCAAGGAUUUAUCGCCUUUGGAUGGGCCCGCGUUGGAUUAGCUAGUUGGUAGGGUAAAAGCCUACCAAGGCGACGAUCCAUAGCUGGUCUGAGAGGAUGAUCAGCCACACUGGGACUGAGACCCGGCCCAAACUCCUACGGGAGGCAGCAGUGGGGAAUAUUGGACAAUGGGCGGAAGCCUGAACCAGCACUGCCGCGUGAGUGAUGAAGGCAGUAGGGUUGUAAAGCUCUUUUACCCGGGAUGAUAAUGACAGUACCGGGAGAAUAAGCUCCGGCUAACUCCGUG
rnacentral:rRNA from 1 species